CACUGACCUUUCACCUUGCUUCCUUGAGCUUCUGGCAAAGACUUGUUUUUUUGUAUUUCUAUCCACUUUUUGUAUCACACAGCUAUGUUACAAUGCUGCCGCCCAUCCCAUGUGUUCCCUAUUAAGGGUUAAUAAGUAUGUAGGGAUGUAAAAAAUACCCCUCUCUGUAUCAUUAGAGAUGUCUUUGCCAGAAGCUCAAGGAAGCAAGGUGAAAGGUCAGUGU